rnacentral:rRNA from 1 species
UACGGGAGGCAGCAGUGGGGAAUAUUGCACAAUGGGCGAAAGCCUGAUGCAGCUAUGCCGCGUGUAUGAAGAAGGCCUUAGGGUUGUAAAGUACUUUCAUCGGGGAGGAAAAAAACAAAACUAAUAAUUUUAUUUCUUGACGUUACCCGAAAAAGAAGCACCGGCUAACUCCGUGCCAGCAGCCGCGGUAAUACGGAGGGUGCUAGCGUUAAUCAGAAUUACUGGGCGUAAAGAGCACGUAGGUGGUUUUUUAAAGUCAGAUGUGAAAUCCCUGGGCUUAACCUAGGAACUGCAUUUUGAAACUGAAAUACUAGAGUAUCGUAGAGGGAGGUAGAAUUCUAGGUGUAAGCGGUGAAAUGCGUAGAUAUCUGGAGGAAUACCUGUGGCGAAAGCGGCCUCCUAAACGAAUACUGACACUGAGGGUGCGAAAAGCGUGGGGAGCAAAACAGGGAUUAGAUACC